AACGUAGGAGGCAAGCGUUAUCCGGAGUUACUGGGCGUAAAGCGCGUGUAGGUGGAUCGGUAAGUUACUUAUAAAAGCUCCUGGCUAAACUAGGAGAGGUUGAGUGAUACUGCCAGUCUUGAAUAGAGGAGAGGUUGACGGAAUUCCGCGUGUAGUGGUGAAAUGCGUAGAGAUGCGGAAGAACACCAGUGGCGAAGGCGGUCAACUGGCCUCAUAUUGACACUCAGACGCGAAGGCAUGGGUAGCGAACGGG
rnacentral:rRNA from 1 species